rnacentral:rRNA from 1 species
GAUGAACGCUGACAGAAUGCUUAACACAUGCAAGUCUUUGGCGAAGCUGUGCUUGCACAGCCUAGCCAAGGCGGACGGGUGAGUAACGCGUAAGGAACUUGCCCUGCAGUCAGGGAUAACAGACGGAAACGACUGAUAAGACCUGGUAAAGUCAGGCGGACUCAUGUCCAGCCUGAUGAAAAGAGAUGCUGCAGGAGAGCCUUGCGUCCUAUUAGCUUGUUGGUGGGGUAACGGCCCACCAAGGCGAUGAUAGGUAGCCGGCCUGAGAGGGUGGACGGCCACAAGGGGACUGAGAUACGGCCCUUACUCCUACGGGAGGUAGCAGUGGGGAAUAUUGGACAAUGGGGGCAACCCUGAUCCAGCAAUUCUGUGUGCACGAUGAAGGUUUUCGGAUUGUAAAGUGCUUUCAGCAGGGAAGAAAAAAAUGACGGUACCUGCAGAAGAAGCGACGGCUAAAUACGU